CCACGACGACAUGUUAUUAGGAUUGUGAGUGACAACGAUGCUUCUCCAUUUGAGCGUCCUGUCAUGGAAUCCGUGCUCGAUUUGCCCACUGUAGAAGCUACUGAUUGCGUGGACAAUGUUGUCAAUGAGAAUUAUUGCGUGGAAAGCAUGACCCAUUUAUCUAAUGCAGAAGCUGCGAAUUGUGUCGAAAACAGUGCAGUUGCUUCUUCAGUAAUUGAUUGUGGUAUGCAGUCGAAAGUAGGAAUGGAAGAC